CUGCAACUGCUGCGAGCAGCUGUAAUGGCGGCCAAGCGAGUCGACACCGGCCCUUCCAAAGAGAGUCGCUGAGAGGCCACAUAUGUCGAGACGAGAUGUGCGAAACGUGAAAAUUUACAAGGACUGCGGUUUUAACUGGAGGCGUUGAAUGUCGAUGUCGCUGAGACCACCUUAACCAAAUAUGCCGCCGAAGGAAAAACUUUCUACGUUGUAAAUGAAUCUGGGGCGACGAGGAUGGGCUUUAUAACGCUACGCUUGCUGCGGCUGUACGGCCUUAGCCGCAACGCCCGCUACGUCUAUACCGUGAGGUUGCGGCGCGUGAGUGCGGCAUACUACUGCCGCACAUUACGGUACAUCUCCCCGCGGGGUAUCACUACACCAAACGUCAUGUAACCCGGCUGCGAGCUACCACAAGACGGCAUUCGAAAUCUAAUAGACGCGAACGGCAGCCGACGCGACAUUUUGCUAGCCAUAACGCAUUGGCUGAUAAAAAUAGGGGACUAAAAUAGAUUUAGCUGCAAAAUAUAGCUCGUACACAGCAGCCAGCAGCGACGUGCGAUAAAUGUUUUGUUAUGUAAUGUUCUUAAAAGCGUGCUGAGAAGCGUGUGUUCCAGUACUUACAAAUAAUUAAUUUAAAGAGUGUGCUGCCUGUUCAAAUGGCAAAGGAGGAGGUCGUGUGAAUGGCUGGAGCGGCAGCAACAAAAAUGUCCACAGUCUCCGAUAUUGAUAACCAAAAGGUACUCGUACCUU
rnacentral:lncRNA from 1 species